ACGGGUGAGUAACGCGUGGAAAACCUGCCGUAUACUGGGGGAUAACACUUAGAAAUAGGUGCUAAUACCGCAUAAGCGCACAGCUUCGCAUGAAGUGGUGUGAAAAACUCUGGUGGUAUACGAUGGUUCCGCGUCUGAUUAGCUUGUUGGGGGGGUAAUGGCUCACCAAGGCGACGAUCAGUAGCCGGCCUGAGAGGGUGAACGGCCACAUUGGGACUGAGACACGGCCCAAACUCCUACGGAAGGCAGCAG
rnacentral:rRNA from 1 species